UACGUAGGUCGCAAGCGUUGUCCGGAUUUACUGGGCGUAAAGAGCGCGCAGGCGGCUGGUCAAGUCCGAUGUGAAAUCUCCCGGCUCAACUGGGAAACUGCAUCGGAAACUGAUCGGCUUGAAGAUGGGAGAGGGUAGUGGAAUUCCCGGUGUAGUGGUGAAAUGCGUAGAUAUCUGGAGGAAUACCGGUGGCGAAGGCGGCAUCCUGGACCGACAUUGACGCUGAUGAGCGAAAGCUAGGGGAGCAAACGGG
rnacentral:rRNA from 1 species